CAAGCCUUGAGUGAGGAAAAGGGUUCAGAUGAAUUUCUCUGAAGGAAGUGAGAGGCAUCUUCUGCCUGACCUCACAGAAAGUGUGGUGGCAAAAGGCCAGCAUGUUGGUUUUCUCAAUGCUGGCCUAAGAACCUGCAAAAGAAGUAUACAACCUGGCAGUGUAUACCAACAAUUUGAAGAUACAAUCUUUUUGUCAAGUCACAGUAUCAGAGGCACGGACCCAGCCAAUCCUAUCGCACGACGAGGCCCCGCCCCCCGAAGCGGCAGGAGGCGGCAGCCAAUGGGGCGGGGCAGCGGAGGGGCGCGUGAAGCUGUGGGGAUCGCUCCCGGGGGUCGGUUGGCGGCGGC